rnacentral:lncRNA from 1 species
AGACUGUGAUUAACCUUGACACAUAGGCUCUUCUCCAAAAAAAACCUCAGGCUACAGACUCCCCGUCUGCUUCACUCCAUUAACGCACAGCCCUGGCAGCCAGGAGGCAGGUUUUGCGCGGAGCUACUCUGCAAGUCCGGGGCAAGAUUACAAAGGUGGAAUGGCUUGGGGUGCGUGUAUCGCCUCUGCGAAAAAGCUGUUUUGUUUUGUGCAGUUCCAAGUCCUGCUACACUAUGAUUAAUUAACUUGGCCAAGAAUUAAUUUUUUUAAAUUAGGAAUGAUUUGAAUCCUUCCUCCAGGUUCUCAUCGCUCAUGCAAGAGUAUGCCAGGGAUGAGGUCACAGUACACAAAGGAGCUGCUAAGAGCUGCAGUUGUAGGUGCGGGCUGCGCUUACCAAGAGCCAUGGACGCUGAUAACCAGCCAGCACUGCACCCAGCGCUCGCGAAAACAGGGACAGUUGGCACAUGCUGUCGUAGAUUCUCCCUCCACCUGGAACCUUUAAAUGUCUUCGUGACCGACCCCUUCUGCCCACGUUGCCCCUUUCAGCGUCAGGCAGAUGGCAAGGAUUCAACGCCCAUGUGCAGAAUGAAGAGCUGCUUAAGAACAAGAUCUCGGAGCUGGGGAUUUAGCUCAGCAGCACAGCGCCUGCCUGGCAAGCGUGAGGAUCUGCACAAUGGUUCCCAACAGCCUGAUCCUAACAAACUUUCAAGCACGUACACUUCAAGAAUAAUAUAUCCUUCUCAGAGUUACACCACUGAAAGGUGUUCCUUCAACAACAGAAAGAUUUAUUAGUUUCUUCUCCCACAGAAAAACCACAGAAAUAUUUCCUUCUCAACUGCCCCAGCAAGUUCCAGAUUUCAUUAAAGAACCUGCCAGAUGCUUCCUCCUAGCCUGUGUGGGAAGAAAUUAAGAUAAAGAGCAUUUGAAAUUCUACCUCUGCACACCUGCCUCGUACCUUAUUCCCUUCUGGCAGAUCUUCUUCCUCUGUUUCCAAGGUCAGAGCUGUGUGACCUGCCUCCCCAGGCAGCUGGGGCUCUCGGUCCUCCCAGCCCCUCUCCGUCUGGUAUUAAUAAUAGAUGGCUUUUACUGAAUUGUGCACCUGCCAUUAGCCAAGCAUUGCACUUUACAAAGUGGUUCAAAUUCUUAACCCCCACCCCCAGUGGAAAAAAACUGUAAACUGAGUGUCUG